AGCGCGCGCGGCUGGGGUGGGCGUUGCUGGCGACGCUGCUGGCGUCGUUGUGCGAAUUCCUGCCGUUCGUGCUGUUGGCGCGCUC
rnacentral:tRNA from 1 species